GCCCCUAUAGCUCAGAGGCAGAGCACUAGUCUCGUAAACUAGGGGUCAUGAGUUCGAUUCUCAUUGGGGGCA
rnacentral:tRNA from 1 species